rnacentral:RNase_P_RNA from 1 species
GGUAGCAGUGGCAGGAAGCGCAGGGUGCUCAACACUCAGGAAAGUCCGCCCACCAGUCUGGCAUUAACUUCAUAAUGCUGGCCACUUUCAGAUGAAAGACGGAGAAAUCCCGUGGCUCUGGCUCAGAAACGACACGUCCAUAACUAAGGAUGAUAGGUUCCCGCAGGAACGAUGGCGAAGCUGUUUGCGAAAACAGCAAGUUAACCCCUUGACGUUGGUUAUGGGAACGAUGAAACGGCGAACCCUGCUCUAUGGCAAUGAUCAUAGGAAGGUCCCAGAAACUUGUUUCCGUGGACCUGGCCGGUGCAAGUUCGAAUGAACGCUUAGUCAAAUGCUUCCCCGGAUCAUCGAUGAUUCACAGAAAUCAUUUUGGAUCCGACAGAAGGCGGCUUAUGCCACUCUACC